rnacentral:lncRNA from 1 species
UCUUUGGUCACAAUGCAGAGCUUUCCAUUAGCUUGUCCAUGUUCAACAAAAGUUUUAGCUGCAUAUCCAGCUGAGUUUCCUCCUCCAACUACUACAUACUCUUGAUUAUCAUUAGCAAACGAAGAAGCCGCUUACCUGGCUGAAACGUCUCGACAACAGAGAAAAGUCGUGAAUGACUCAUAGGUAGCACAUACCUACAAUCAUCCACAUUUCAAAUUCACCAAAUUAUUCAAACAUUUUUAAAAAAUCAAAAAUCAAAGACGAGAGCAUCAAUUACUUGCUCAAGAGUAAACUCGACAAGUGAUACUUACUCUCGAUUCUCAUUAGCAAACGAAGAAGCCGCCGCAACGUAACUUCUCCGGAAACUUCUAGAAGAAAUCCGAGGAAUCCGAUUUAAUGAAGCUGAUUGAGGACACCAAAGUGAAAGACCUUGCUUAAACGACAUCGUAUUAG